AGUAGAGAAAAGGGGCCUCUGGUGACCGCCCCUACCUGGCAUCCCUCUAACCCAGGAGGAGCGUGGGGAAAGGGGCUGUGGGCCUCUCGGGGAGCGAGCUGCGGGUAGCGGCGCACUGGGUACAGGCGCGCGCUUGGCUGUCGCCUCUGCCGCUGUGUUUGGGAGGACUCGAACUGGCGCCAGGAAAUAUUAGGAAGCUGUGAUUUUCAAAGCUAAUUAUGAAAACAUUUAUCAUUGGAAUCAGUGGGCUCUACAAGAAACAUGGUGGUGAUAUGUGCUUCUGAUGAGGGCCUCAGGAAGCUUACAGUCAUGGUGGAAGAUGAAGGGGAUCCAGCAUGUCACAUGGCGGAAGAAGGAGCAAGAGAGAGUGAGAGGGAGGUUUCAGACUUUUUAAACAACCAGCUCUCACGUGAACCAACAGAGCAAAAACUCACUCAUUACCAUGGGGAUGGCACCAAACCCUUCAUGAGCGAUCUGCCCUCAUGAGCCAAACACCUGCCAGCAGGCCCCACCUCCAGCUUGGGGAUCACAUUUCUUUUUUGAGAC
rnacentral:lncRNA from 10 species